rnacentral:rRNA from 1 species
UUUUAUGGAGAGUUUGAUCCUGGCUCAGGACGAACGCUGGCGGCGUGCCUAAUACAUGCAAGUCGAGCGAACAGAGAAGGAGCUUGCUCCUUUGACGUUAGCGGCGGACGGGUGAGUAACACGUGGGCAACCUACCUUAUAGUUUGGGAUAACUCCGGGAAACCGGGGCUAAUACCGAAUA